GUCCAAAAGCCUGUUAUGGUUAUGGUUGGGGUUGGGGUUAGGGUUAGGGCGGCUUCAGGUCAGAUAACAGGCUUUAUAUGUGUAUAUAUGUU